rnacentral:rRNA from 1 species
AGCUAGUUGGUGGGGUAAAAGCUCACCAAGGCGACGAUCUGUAGCGGGUCUGAGAGGAUGAUCCGCCACACUGGAACUGAGACACGGUCCAGACUCCUACGGGAGGCAGCAGUGGGGAAUUUUGGACAAUGGGGGCAACCCUGAUCCAGCCAUGCCGCGUGAGUGAAGAAGGCCUUCGGGUUGUAAAGCUCUUUCAGCCGGGAAGAAAACGCAUUGGUUAAUACCUGAUGUGGAUGACGGUACCGGAAUAAGAAGCACCGGCUAACUACGUGCCAGCAGCCGCGGUAAUACGUAGGGUGCGAGCGUUAAUCGGAAUUACUGGGCGUAAAGCGUGCGCAGGCGGUUUUGUAAGAUAGGCGUGAAAUCCCCGGGCUUAACCUGGGAACUGCGUUUAUGACUGCAAAGCUAGAGUACGGCAGAGGGGGGUGGAAUUCCACGUGUAGCAGUGAAAUGCGUAGAGAUGUGGAGGAACACCAAUGGCGAAGGCAGCCCCCUGGGUCGAUACUGACGCUCAUGCACGAAAGCGUGGGUAGCAAACAGGAUUAGAUACCCUGGUAGUCCACGCCCUAAACGAUGUCAACUAGGUGUUGGGAGGGUAAAACCUUUUAGUACCGGAGCUAACGCGUGAAGUUGACCGCCUGGGGAGUACGGCCGCAAGGUUAAAACUCAAAGGAAUUGACGGGGACCCGCACAAGCGGUGGAUGAUGUGGAUUAAUUCGAUGCAACGCGAAAAACCUUACCUACCCUUGACAUGUCAGGAACUUGCCAGAGAUGGCUUGGUGCUCGAAAGAGAACCUGAACACAGGUGCUGCAUGGCUGUCGUCAGCUCGUGUCGUGAGAUGUUGGGUUAAGUCCCGCAACGAGCGCAACCCUUGUCGUUAAUUGCCAUCAUUUAGUUGGGCACUUUAACGAGACUGCCGGUGACAAACCGGAGGAAGGUGGGGAUGACGUCAAGUCCUCAUGGCCCUUAUGGGUAGGGCUUCACACGUCAUACAAUGGUCGGUACAAAGGGUCGCCAACCCGCGAGGGGGAGCCAAUCCCAGAAAGCCGAUCGUAGUCCGGAUUGCAGGCUGCAACUCGCCUGCAUGAAGUCGGAAUCGCUAGUAAUCGUGGAUCAGCAUGUCACGGUGAAUACGUUCCCGGGUCUUGUACACACCGCCCGUCACACCAUGGGAGCGGGUUCCGCCAGAAGUAGGUAGCCUAACCGCAAGGAGGGCGCUUACCACGGCGGGGUUCGUGACUGGGGUGAAGUCGUAACAAGGUAGCCGUAGGGGAACCUGCGGCUG